rnacentral:rRNA from 1 species
CAGUCGCCGCGGUAAUACGAAGGGGGCUAGCGUUGUUCGGAAUUACUGGGCGUAAAGCGCACGUAGGCGGAUCGAUCAGUCAGGGGUGAAAUCCCAGGGCUCAACCCUGGAACUGCCUUUGAUACUGUCGAUCUGGAGUAUGGAAGAGGUGAGUGGAAUUCCGAGUGUAGAGGUGAAAUUCGUAGAUAUUCGGAGGAACACCAGUGGCGAAGGCGGCUCACUGGUCCAUUACUGACGCUGAGGUGCGAAAGCGUGGGGAGCAAACAGGAUUAGAUACCCCUGUAGUCCCUGUCUCUUAUAC